rnacentral:rRNA from 1 species
UACGUAGGGGGCGAGCGUUGUCCGGAUUUAUUGGGCGUAAAGCGCACGCAGGCGGUCUUUUAAGUUUUGAGUGACAGGCGAGGGCUUAACCCUGGCAGGCCUUGGAAAACUGGAAGACUUGAGGGCGAGAGAGGGAUGCGGAAUUCCAGGUGGAGCGGUGAAAUGCGUAGAGAUCUGGAAGAACACCGAAGGCGAAGGCAGCAUCCUGGAGCGUUACUGACGCUGAUGUGCGAAAGCUAGGGGAGCGAACGGG